GAGGGUGUAGCUCAAGUGGUAGAGCGCAUGCCCAGCAUGCAUGAGAGGUCCUGGGUUCAAUCCCCAGUACCUCCU
rnacentral:tRNA from 1 species